CAAGGGCACCACGCUCAAAUCAACAGUGCCUACCCAAUUUCCAAGCUGCAGGGGCACACCAUGAGCAACACCGAAAAGAGGUUUGGCAGGCUGAUCUACUGCCUUCAUGCAUCCAGGUUCCUUGGCCACCUUCAGGCCUAGCCUGGCAGCUUCCUCCACUGAAAUGAGGUUUUGGUUUGCCCCACUAUCCAGCAACGCCUUGGUGUCCACACCAUUCACCUUGGCGCCCACAAAUAUCAAGGCCUUCCCUGGCUGGAGUUUGGGAAUUGGCCUAGCCUUGGUAGUCUCCCCCGUGGCUACCUUGGCUCGCACAGCGUUCAUCACCCGCAACGUCCCCAGUUGCGCGGCCUCCCCUUCUUGGGAUGUCCCCUCGUAGGUAGAUGCGAUGGCAUUCAGCUUGGCUCGAGUGGGGCACUCACGCACCCAAUGAGCCCCGCCACAGAGAAAGCAGUCGUUCUUCGGCCUAGACUGAUCCUUGCUAGUUCCUUCGCCUUGCUGCUUCUCCUUUGGCUUAAAAGGCUUGCCUGCCUUGUGGGGCUUGUCUCCCCCACCUUUGCCAUAGUUGCCCUUCUUAGGCUUUUCUUUCUUAGCCUGCCCCUUUGAGAAUUCCACCAAUGAUUCGGCCACCGCAAUUGCGCUUGCAAGAUCUUGGACACCCCUCCGCUUCAACUCUUGUUCUGCCCACCGCUGCAGCCCAUCAAGAAAAUAUAGCAAGCGGCUUUUAUCGGGCAUGUCGGGGAUUUCCAGCAUAAGGGAGGAAUACUCCCGAAUGUAAUCCUUAAGAGACCCCGUAUGCUUCAACCCUCGUAGCUUCUUCAUUGCAACUUCUUCAGCAUUUUCGGGGUAGAAUUGCUUCUUGAGUUCCCCCUUAAAUGCCUCCCAAGUGCGAAUCUCUACCAGCCCCCUCUCCAUCUCGGCAUGACGACGUCUCCACCAAAGGAUAGCAUCAUGUUCAAGGUAGAGAGUGGUGGUUUUGAUUUUGGUAGCAUCAUCAACAACAUUCAAGGCAUCCAAAUAUUGCUCAACAAGCCAAAAAAAAUUAUCAAGUUCUUUAGCAUCUCGCUUACCUCCAAAUUUCGGUGGUUCCGGGACUUUGAUUUUCGGGGCAACGCUAGCUGUAGUGACUCCAGCAGAUACAGCAGCCUUGCAAAUAGCCACAUCUUCCUUCAGGGACGAAAUUUCUGCAGCAAUAUGACCACGAAAUUCCUCCAUGGACUUAUUGAUGGAAUCGAUGAAGGAAUUCAACGCACCUUGCAUAGCCCCUUCGAGUUCUUCCUUCAUGGCCUCCUGCUCUUCCUCCCGUGAGUCAAGAGUGUCCAUGAUAUCCCCCACGGCCAACUCCAGCUUGGCCAGCCUUGCUUCGAAGGCUUCUACCAAAUCCGAAGGGACAACAGCUCCCCUAGCCGACUCCUUCGACUUGGCCCGCCUCUUUGGCUGCACACGGGCUUCCUCACGCCCUCUUUCCUCUUGCACCUCCGAGAGGUUGCUUGCUUCAGCGUCUUUGCUUGACAUGGUUACAAACUCCCCCAGUUGCAACCUUGGCUCUGAUACCACGUGUCACAGGUCAAGACUUUCAGCUUGCCUAGUGCGGCACUUGCUCGGCAGAUUUCCCCAACACCGAAAACAAGUAAGCCUAUUCCAGCAAAGAACUCAAGCACACCCACACUCACACUUGGAAUGCACAAGAGAGAUUGAUUGGGCCAAAGAGAACUCUAUUAUGUACAAUUGCAAAGUGUGUACAAAGAGAAGUAUACAAGAACUCUUUAGGGACUCUUGAUAGCUCACACCACUCAAGUUGGCAUUUACAAGCCAAGGCAACAAGUAUUUAUAGGGAGAGGCACCUCCUCAUCUUCCCUCCCAAAUCCUCAAGAUUGGUGCAAGGCUUCUUGAAGAAUCAAGAGAAGUGGAGAGAAUUCCAGAGAAGUGGAGAGACUUCUGGAACCUUCCAGUCCUCUCUGCAAGCUUCUAGCCCAAAAUGAGGUUUGGUUGGCCCAAACUCCUUCUAGCAAGCCAAUUUCAGCCAGCCAAUUGCCCAGAACUUUCUAGCAUGUUCCAGCACGUCCCAGAGCCAUCCACAAGGCUCUAGAAAUUUCUGCAAGUCUCCACUUGGGCCACCUGACUUGCUUGGGCAAUUUUGGGCUGUUUGGCCCGUUUUCCUCUUGGGGGCUUACAACCUCCCCCACCAGAGUCCUUGACGCCCUCGUCAAGCUUUCCUUUCUUGUGAACCUCGAUUGCAUCCUUGAAUUGCCACAAAUCAGCUUCCUUUUCCCAACUUGCCUCAGUGUCGGGCAACCCCUUCCAUUUGAUCAGAAAUUCCGUGUGGUUGGGGACUCCUCGCUGGCGCACCACUCGUUCGGCCAAAAUUUCCCCAAUUUCCCGAUCAAAUGAGGUUACAACCGUGGGAGGGGCUCGCUGAGAUUUUCCUCUGUCCGGAUCCUCCUUGUCCGCAUAGUAAGGCUUUAGGAAGCUCACAUGGAAGACCGGAUGUAUCUUCAGUUGCGGGGGCAGCUCUACCCGAUAGGAUACCUUCCCAACCUUUUGAGUGAUAGGAAAGGGUCCUUCAUACCUUCUUACCAACCCUUGGUGCACUGACCUGUAGGCCUUGAACUGCCUAGAGGGUAGUUUGAUCAUGACAAGGUCACCCACUUGGAACUCCAAGGGCCUCCUCCUCAUAUCUGCCCAUUUCUUCAUUUUCUUGGAGGCCUUAUCUAGGUAGACUCUUGCCUCAUCAAGCUGCUCUCCCCAACCCUUAGCCCAUUUGUAGGCUGAAGGACUUACCCCGGUGUAACCCGCAGCAACAGCAUGAGGUGCCAACGGCUGUUGGCCCGUGGCAAUUUCAAAGGGACUCCGUUGGGUGGAUUCACUCCUUUGCAGGUUGUAAGA
rnacentral:misc_RNA from 1 species